ensembl:lncRNA
UUUUUUUUUUUUUUAAGGGCCUACUAAAUUUCCCCUAGGGGCUCAAUAAAGUACUUCUAUUCUAUGGCACCUCCAGCCACCUUCAGUCAUGCUCCACGGGCAGCAUAGGCUUGCAGCAACUUCCCUUAUUCACCACCACCAGUGUCUCGACUCCAGGGGGGAUUCUGUUGGAGCAGGACUUGGCAUUGCGGCCCCUUGAUUAUCCGGUUUGGGUUCAAAGACAUGCACAAUUCCAAUGUGACCGAUGUAAUAAAAGUAUUGUUCAUUCGGAAUGAUUCUCUCCUGAUUGAAACUGAACUUUGCUCCAUUUGUUGCAUUGUGUUAUUAUGAAGUAACUAUAAAUUUAAUUUUGUUUAAGGGCGACUGGGGAAAGCAGUAUUAAGCUGAAGAGAACGAUGUUUGUUGUAACAGCUACUGUAGCAUGUACAUAUUUUGUAAUAUGUUACUGUUGAAUUAGUUCGUAUCACAUGCAAGAAAAAAAGUCUGCAUACAAGCUAAUAAACGUGUUUGCUGCUGUUUUUUUUCUUGACUCUUGAUUUAUUUACUGAUUUCUUUGCAAUAUUACCUCUAGCUAAAAUUGAAUGACUUAUCCAUUUUAAUUUUAAAUUACUGGAAAAUAUUCUUAUCAAAAC